AUUGAACGCUGGCGGCAGGCCUAACACAUGCAAGUCGAGCGAGCGGCGGACGGGUGAGUAAUGUAUGGGGACUGCCCGAUAGAGGGGGCUAACUACUGGAAACGGUUGCUAAUACCGCAUACUAUCGGCUAACACCGAUGGGAUUAGAUAGUAGGUGGGGUAAAGGCUCACCUAUGCGACGAUCUCUAGCUGGUCUGAGAGGAUGAUCAGCAAACCUGGGGCUGAGACCAGGCCCAGACUCCUGCGGAGGCAGCAGUGGGGAAUAGUGUCCAAUGGGCGCGAGCCUGAUGCAGCCAUGCCGAGCGUAUGAAGAAGGCCUUAGGGUUGUAAAGUACUUUCAGCGGGGAGGCGUUACCCGCAGAAGAAGCACCGGCUAACUCCGUGCCAGCAGCCGCGGUAAUAC
rnacentral:rRNA from 1 species